rnacentral:rRNA from 1 species
GGACGAACGCUGGCGGCGUGCCUAACACAUGCAAGUCGAGCGAGGAGAUUCCUUCGGGAUGAUCCUAGCGGCGGACGGGCGAGUAACACGUGGGCAACCUGCCUCAUAGAGAGGAAUAGCCUUCCGAAAGGGAGAUUAAUACCUCAUAACAUUGCAGUUUCGCAUGGAACAGCAAUUAAAGGAGUAAUCCGCUAUGAGAUGGGCCCGCGGCGCAUUAGCUAGUUGGUGAGGUAACGGCUCACCAAGGCGACGAUGCGUAGCCGACCUGAGAGGGUGAUCGGCCACAUUGGGACUGAGACACGGCCCAGACUCCUACGGGGGGCAGCAGUGGGGAAUAUUGCACAAUGGGGGAAACCCUGAUGCAGCAACGCCGCGUGAGUGAUGACGGCCUUCGGGUUGUAAAGCUCUGUCUUCAGGGACGAUAAUGACGGUACCUGAGGAGGAAGCCACGGCUAACUACGUGCCAGCCGCCGC